AUUGAACGCUGGCGGCAUGCCUUACACAUGCAAGUCGAACGGCAGCACGGGUGCUUGCACCUGGUGGCGAGUGGCGAACGGGUGAGUAAUACAUCGGAACGUACCUUAUCGUGGGGGAUAACGCAGCGAAAGCUGUGCUAAAACCGCAUACGCCCUGAGGGGGAAAGCGGGGGAUCGAAAGACCUCGCGCGAUUAGAGCGGCCGAUGUCUGAUUAGCUUGUUGGUGGGGUAAAAGCCCACCAAGGCGACGAUCAGUAGCUGGUCUGAGAGGACGAUCAGCCACACUGGGACUGGGACACGGCCCAGACUCCUACGGGAGGCAGCAGUGGGGAAUUUUGGACAAUGGGGGCAACCCUGAUCCAGCAAUGCCGCGUGAGUGAAGAAGGCCUUCGGGUUGUAAAGCUCUUUUGUCAGGGAAGAAACACCGGCUCUAACACAGUCCGGGAAUGACGGUACCUGAAGAAUAAGCACCGGCUAACUACGUGCCAGCAGCCGCCGUAA
rnacentral:rRNA from 1 species